rnacentral:rRNA from 1 species
AUUGAACGCUGGCGGCAUGCCUAACACAUGCAAGUCGAACGGCAGCGCGGGGGCAACCCUGGCGGCGAGUGGCGGACGGGUGAGGAAUGCAUAGGAAUCUGCCCGGUUGUGGGGGAUAACGUAGGGAAACUUACGCUAAUACCGCAUACGACCUUCGGGUGAAAGUGGGUGACCUUCGGGCCUCACGCGAUCGGAUGAGCCUAUGCCCGAUUAGCUAGUUGGCGGGGUAAGAGCCCACCAAGGCGACGAUCGGUAGCUGGUCUGAGAGGAUGAUCAGCCACACUGGGACUGAGACACGGCCCAGACUCCUACGGGAGGCAGCGGUGGGGAAUAUUGGACAAUGGGGGCAAGCCUGAUCCAGCAAUGCCGCGUGUGUGAAGAAGGCCUUCGGGUUGUAAAGCACUUUUGUUCGGGAAGAAAUCCGUGUGGUUAAUACCCGUACGGGAUGACGGUACCGAAAGAAUAAGCACCGGCUAACUUCGUG